rnacentral:rRNA from 1 species
CCGGGAAACCGGGGCUAAUACCGGAUAACACCGAAGACCGCAUGGUCUUUGGUUGAAAGGUGGCUUUUGCUACCACUUACGGAUGGGCCCGCGGCGCAUUAGCUAGUUGGUGAGGUAACGGCUCACCAAGGCGACGAUGCGUAGCCGGCCUGAGAGGGUGACCGGCCACACUGGGACUGAGACACGGCCCAGACUCCUACGGGAGGCAGCAGUAGGGAAUCUUCCGCAAUGGACGAAAGUCUGACGGAGCGACGCCGCGUGAGCGAAGAAGGUCUUCGGAUCGUAAAGCUCUGUUGUUAGGGAAGAAGAAGUACCGUUCGAAUAGGGCGGUACGGUGACGGUACCUAACGAGAAAGCCCCGGCUAACUACGUGCCAGCAGCCGCGGU